AGUGAACGCUGGCGGUAGGCCUAACACAUGCAAGUCGAACGGCAGCACAGAGGAGCUUGCUCCUUGGGUGGCGAGUGGCGGACGGGUGAGGAAUACAUCGGAAUCUACUCUGUCGUGGGGGAUAACGUAGGGAAACUUACGCUAAUACCGCAUACGACCUACGGGUGAAAGCAGGGGAUCUUCGGACCUUGCGCGAUUGAAUGAGCCGAUGUCGGAUUAGCUAGUUUGCGGGGUAAAGUCCCACCAAGGCGGCGAUCCGUAGCUGGACGGAGAGGAUGAUCAGCCACACUGGAACUGAGACACGGUGCAGACUCCUACGGUAGGCAGCAGUGGGGAAUAUUGGACAAUGGGCGCAAGCCUGAUCCAGCCAUACCGCGUGGGUGAAGAAGGCCUUCGGGUUGUAAAGCCCUUUUGUUGGGAAAGAAAUCCAUCUGGUUAAUACCCGGGUGGGAUGACGGUACCCAAAGAAUAAGCACCGGCUAACUUCGUGCCAGCCGCCGCGGUAA
rnacentral:rRNA from 1 species